GGCGACGUGGCCAAGUGGUAAGGCAAGGGUCUGCAAAACCCUCAUUCCCGGGUUCAAAUCCCGGCGUCGCCU
rnacentral:tRNA from 1 species